AGGGUUUGAUCCUGGCUCAGAACGAACGCUGGCGGCGUGCUUAACACAUGCAAGUCGAACGAGAACGGUUUUCUUCGGAGGACCUAUUAAAGUGGCGCACGGGUGAGUAACACGUAGAUAAUCUACCCAGGUGUCUGGGAUAACUAACCGAAAGGUUAGCUAAUACCUGAUACGUUCAUGUUGUCGCAAGACGGGAUGAAGAAAGAUGGCCUCUCCAUGGAAGCUAUUGCAUUUGGAUGAGUUUGCGUACCAUUAGCUAGUUGGUGGGGUAAGAGCCUACCAAGGCUACGAUGGUUAGCGGGUCUGAGAGGAUGAUCCGCCACACUGGAACUGGAACACGGACCAGACUCCUACGGGAGGCAGCAGUGAGGAAUUUUGCGCAAUGGGGGAAACCCUGACGCAGCGACGCCGCGUGGACGAUGAAGGCCUUCGGGUUGUAAAGUCCUGUCAGAAGGGAAGAAGUGUAUAUGUGCUAAUAACGCAUAUAUUUGACGGUACCCUCAAAGGAAGCACCGGCUAACUCCGUGCCAGCAGCCGCGGUA
rnacentral:rRNA from 1 species